CGAACUCCGGUCAGCUGACACAUCCCGGCCAAUCUCCAGCAGACCAUCCUACUUACUGGACAGCAUCCAUGUUGAAGCUGUCUAGGAGGUGGGAGGGUCUGCCAGAGAUUGGCAGGGAUGUGUCAGCUGACCGG